GGUGGCUCAGUGGUAGAGUGCUUGCCUUGCACGCAGGAGGCCCUGGGUUCGAUUCCUCAGCACCA
rnacentral:tRNA from 1 species